GAUGAACGCUAGCUACAGGCUUAACACAUGCAAGUCGAGGGGAAACGACAUCGAAAGCUUGCUUUUGAUGGGCGUCGACCGGCGCACGGGUGAGUAACGCGUAUCCAACCUGCCCAUCACUUGGGAAUAACCUUGCGAAAGUAAGACUAAUACCCAAUGAUAUCCCACGAAGGCAUCGGAAUGGGAUUAAAGAUUUAUCGGUGAUGGAUGGGGAUGCGUCUGAUUAGCUUGUUGGCUGGGUAACGGCCCACCAAGGCAACGAUCAGUAGGGGUUCUGAGGGGAAGGUCCCCCACAUUGGAACUGAGACACGGUCCAAACUCCUACGGGAGGCAGCAGUGAGGAAUAUUGGUCAAUGGGCGAGAGCCUGAACCAGCCAAGUAGCGUGCAGGAAGACGGCCCUAUGGGUUGUAAACUGCUUUUAUAAGGGAAUAAAGUGGGUCACGUGUGACUUUUUGCAUGUACCUUAUGAAUAAGGACCGGCUAAUUCCGUG
rnacentral:rRNA from 1 species